ACUCCUACGGGAGGCAGCAGUGGGGAAUAUUGGACAAUGGGGGAAACCCUGAUCCAGCCAUGCCGCGUGUGUGAAGAAGGCCUUCGGGUUGUAAAGCACUUUCAGUGGGGAGGAAAGGUUGUUGGUUAAUACCUAACAGCUGUGACGUUACCCACAGAAGAAGCACCGGCUAACUCCGUGCCAGCACGCCGCGUAAUACGGAGGGUGCAAGCGUUAAUCGGAAUUACUGGGCGUAAAGCGUGCGCAGGCGGUCUGUUAAGCGAGAUGUGAAAGCCCCGGGCUCAACCUGGGAACUGCAUUUCGAACUGGCAGACUAGAGUCUUGUAGAGGGGGUAGAAUUCCAGGUGUAGCGGUGAAAUGCGUAGAGAUCUGGAGGAAUACCGGUGGCGAAGGCGGCCCCCUGGACAAAGACUGACGCUCAGGCACGAAAGCGUGGGGAGCAAACAGGAUUAGAUACCCUGGUAGGAUAGCG
rnacentral:rRNA from 1 species